rnacentral:rRNA from 1 species
AUACGGAGGGUGCGAGCGUUACUCGGAGUCACUGGGCGUAAAGCGUCCGUAGGCGGUCGGGUAAGUCGGGUGUGAAAGCCCCGGGCUCAACCUGGGAAGUGCACCCGAUACUGCUCGACUCGAGUGCGGGAGAGGAUGGCGGAAUUCCCGGUGUAGCGGUGAACUGCGUAGAGAUCGGGAGGAACACCAGUGGCGAAGGCGGCCAUCUGGCCCGCAACUGACGCUGAGGGACGAAAGCGUGGGGAGCAAACAGGAUUAGAUACCCUAGUAGUCC